rnacentral:lncRNA from 1 species
UGGAAAAACUAUGCAGCACAACUCUUGAACACAAGAAAUGAACUGUGAAGUUUCCAGGCUGGAGAACUGCAGCAACAACACAGUCUCAAGAUGAAUGUGUGAGAUAUAUGCAGAAGAUUUAUCUAAGAGAGAGACUGAAUGUGAAUCAACAGAAUGCCACCAAUCAUCACUUCUUUGAAAAAAAACUGUUCAGAACAGCAGCUGUGGAGCAAGAUAAACAGCAUGAGAACCAAGGACGUCUUUAGAAGAAGAAAGAACAGCUAAUGGCUUUGAUUGGAUAAGCGCACGCAUGAACGGUUAAGGAGCGUUUGUAAAAUGCUUUGUUAACAUGUAAAGGUGGAUGAGAAAGUUGUAGGGAUGGAUGGCAAAGCUAGAAAAAGAAAACCUGUGAAGGUAUAUAAAUGAUG